CAUUCACGUACAUUAACAUUCAAGUUUUCAAGUUUCAAGUUUUAUUUCAAAUCUUGGCCCUUUAAGGGCAUCAGCAUUACAGAUAAAUGCAUAUACAUGUACAAAUUAACAGCCAAAACAGUUCAGCAAACAAAUAUCACGAACCAUCUAAACAUUAGUAACAUUUACUAACAACAGGAAUGUGACCAGCAUAAACUCAAAGUAGCAUGCAUGAGCCCUGUCACAAGAAAACCGACCCAACGACCCCACAAACAUGGCGAAUCAAGACCAGCCCAUGCAUCUGCGCAGAUCCAAUAGAGCCCAGAAAACACCCGCACUCACUGCAGAAAUUUAAAGACGUCUUAACUGACAGAAUAAGCUCCACCAAAACCCCACAGAUACACAGACCGGCCAAGACCCAACCAAACAACGAAUCCCUGAGACGGCCCAAAAGUAACAGAGCCCAUACAAAAACUUUCAUUCAUUAAAACGGUGGCUACGUUAUUUUUUCCGAUAAAAAAGUUAAGAUCAUGAACUAAUUAAAAUGAUGUCUUCAAUUCCUCUUGAAAUUUAGUGGGCAAAUAUCUAAAAAAAAAUAAAACAUGUAUUGAUUCGUUUUUAUUUGACCGGAUAAUAUGCAAUAUAUUGGUUUACAACUGUGAAAAAGUUUCAUUAACGUCUAGAUUGUAGACAUAGUACCGCCGGAAGUAGAACAUUUAUGUCAACACCGGUUUCGUAUUUUCACGUGAAAUCGGCCGAAAACUGAGAGGUUAUCAACAAAUUAUAAGUUUACGGGUACCAUGAGGAUUUUUCAUGCAUUUAAACGACAGAAGUACAAGUGAACAGAUGACACAUUAAAGUGGCUGCAGAAGCUUGAAAAGUUAGAUAGAGCAGGGACAGUCAAAACUGUGGGAUAAUACUUCUAUGUAAUUUCUUUUUAAAGGCAAUUUAUACAGGAUGGAAGGGGUGUCCAGCAUGUCUAGUCAGGUUGACAGAAGUGAAAGAUGGUCUGAUGUGUAAAAUGUUUUGUGGAUUCAUAUGAUGAGAAUGCCAAUGUUGAUCUGUAUGACUUAAUUAAACACAGAUAUUUAUACCUUCAGAUAUAUACCUGUGAAAUCUUCAGUGUCACCGUUCAGCUAUUGUUCAAGAUCAGUGUCUGCAGCUUGCACAGUUUAGUAUAGAGGAGCCUUCUGAAUCAAUUUUGUUACAUAUUUGCUGUUAUUGUAUGACGCAUAUGUAGAGAGCAACAAGUCCUGUCCAACUGUGCAUGUAAAUGUGAUUCAGAAACUUUGAGAAUAUGUAAACAUUACACUGUUAUAAUUUUCAAAAUACUGUGUCUUGUAGUGUAUCAGUACUGUUUUGUCUCAGUUUAUAGCACAGUAUGUCCACAAAUCAAACUUAAGAUCAUAGUUAUCAGUAUUAUUAAAAUCAUUAAUUAUUUGUAUGGUGACAAAAUUUAAUUUCAUGCAAUACCACAAUAAAACGUUUGAUAAUUUUCGUUUUUAAAGUUGUAAGUUUAAAGUUGGCAUAAAUUGAUUUUCUCCUUCAUUAAUCUAAAAAGCGAUUGGUCAUUAUAAUUGCAAUAUCAUUUUAGUGUGACAAAGUUUAUAUUGAACUAAAACGCUAAUGUAAAUUUUUGAACUAUUCAAUGCAUUUUCUUCAGUCUUAAAACAUUUGUUUAUCGUACAUGUCAUGACCCAUAACUCCUCCAUAUUACUUGUGUUUUGUCCUUUUUCGUUUCACUGAAGGAUAGGUAGAUUUAUUGCACAUCCAUUUUUUAGCAUCCUGAUUUUGUAAAGUGUUGUAUGUAAGGUUUUAUCUCGGAAUAAUGUCUCAUCUAAAGGUGGGCAGAGGUAUUG